CUUUCAGGUGUUCGUCGCCGGUGCCUAGCGUGAUUUGGACAAAUUCACAUUAUAGCAUUUGUGGUUUUCCCGUUUAGGAAGCCAAUGAUCCCACCAAAAUGGAUGUUUGUGAUGUGUACCGUAGUCGAUGUUUACACACUUUCUUUUAUAUUAUACAGUGCCUGUUAAACUAAAUACAGAACUCUUAUAAUGUCUUCAAACGGCAGAUUUUAAUUUAAGUUAUAACCAUUAAUUAAAUGAUAUUCGAAAUGGAAAUUCUAUAUUUUCAUAAUAUAAAAAAAUAAUAUAUUUCGAGAAUUCCAAGGAAAUUCAGGAGCUCAACGAAUUAUAAGUGCAGUCUACCAAUCAAUUAAUCAAUCAAACUAACGGAAUCGUACGUCGCAACGAUUCCUUUGCGGCUCAAUCGGAGUUGGUAGCAAAGGGAAUGAAUGUUCAAAGUGUCGAAAAGUUCGUGUGGGAUCGGGUCGACCCGCUAACAACUGAGACGCGACCUACAAAGUUAUACGUGACUGAAUAAAUAAAAUUUUUAGGUUAAGCCAUCGAUUUUUAUAGGAAUAUCAAAUUUAAUUCUUAUUUUAAAUUAUUUUUACUAUUGAGGUUAGGUAGGUUAAAAUGUAGAACAGGAACAAAAGCAAUCAACAAAUACUUUUUCAAGGCGCAAAAGGUGUAGUGAAACGGUGUAAAAUUCAUUUAAUAUUUGAUAGCAGCUCAAAAAAGGUUAAUAAAUGAUGUAUGUAUAUAUAAGUUAUUGGAAAAAGGUACCUCAGAUGUACUAACAAAUGUCAACAAAUUAUGAAAGGUUGCAGAAAAUGUGGCAUUCAUUUUAAGAAAGGGGCAACAUAAUCAUGAACACUUGGAAGGCGAAAUUCAAGACAGGAAUUUCCAGAGGUGCUUGAUGGAACCAUGUAUAAGAGAGAAAGGAGACCCAAGGAAUAUAUAUCAUAGACUUGCGACAAGGAAUGCAGAGGAUGCCUUAGUAGUUCCCUUUCGCUCAGUACAAACCUCUCUGCAAGGGUAGACAAACAACAAGACCAAAUAUUCCUGUAGAAUGAGAGGACUUGCCUAGAGACCUGGGAGUGGCGAUACAAAGUGCCACAGAAGUGUGGCAUCAGCCCCUCCACCCCCCUCUAUGAAAGGUUGAAAUUUGAGACACAAGGAUUAAAAAGGAUUUUACAUUUUUAGUGAUAUUAGCCAAAUUGUCAGACCUGCCCUUUAUCAGAUAUGGGCAAAACAUUUUGAUUGUUUCAGAGAUUAGCAAGUAUUUUCUUUUCUGGGUAGGUCAUCUCUAGCUUUAUAUAGCUUAAUAGAAGCCACCAAUAAAUGUUAAAUACCUGUCGAAAUGAGACUAGGCAUUGACCUUUCUUGGCGCUAUGUUUGUCAUUAGUAAAAGUAAUGGUAACUCCUAGUAAGGUGUAUACAGGUAGAGGUUACCUUUGUCAUAAAAAUACCAAAUGUUAUUCUUACAGGCUUUUACUUUGACAAGGCACUGUGAAUUGGAUACUGUGUCCCAUUUUGGUCAUGACUGAAGGGUACGUCCAUUGUUAGUGACGACAGAGCCUUGCAUUUUCGCAAACCUUUUCUUUUCUGUGAAACGAAAGAUAAUGUUGACAAAAUUCUUAUAACCUAAAUAAAGUUUGUUUUUUUUUUUUAAUAGAAUUUGAUUCCUCUUGGUAUGAACGUCUCAAAAAUGUAUAACAGUAUGGGGUUAUUUGUAUAAACUAAAUUAAUUACUGAAUUAUAUUAAUCAUUUAAUAAAUUAAGCAUUUUUUCACCCAUUUUCUUACUUACAUACACCGCGCACAGCUUUAAUAUGGAACACUACUAAAUAGGUUGGCCCUGAUAAGAAACUGUACGUCAAAAAAGUGAAACAUUAAAAAAUAGCUAUUAAAACAAUGCCUUUUGAAAACUUCGAAAAAUUCGACAUAAUUAAAUGCUUUAAUAUUUGCUUAGCAGGUCGACUUUUGAACAGUUUUUUUAGCUUUAUAAAUUAAAAUCAAUUAUGUCCAGAUUUGCAAAAAAUGCUAAUAUUGAAUAAUUUUUAUGUUCCUUAUUAUUUUCAAAAAUUGUUUUAAUAUCUAGGUUAUGGUUUGGUUUUCUUUUUUAAUAAUAUAUAUAUGAAAUGUUACAAAAAAAAUGUUAAUAUUAAACUAAGUUGGCUUCAUACAAAUUAUAAAACUUAUUGUAUAAUAUAAGUAUUGUCAGGAAUAAAUAAGGCACCUAUUUUGGAUAUUUAAUAAAUGAUUUUUCCGCAAAUACCUUAAAAAACUUAAAAAAAAAUAUUAAAAAAAAAAAGAUUUUUGUGAGGUCAUUUAUACAAAUAACCCCAUAAUGUUAUACAUUUUUUAAAAGCUCAUACCAAGCGGAAAAAACUUUUUAUUUCAAAAAGACAAAACUUCCCCAAAACUUCAAAUUUAUAAAAUCACCCUGUAUUUUAAAAGCUAAGCAAGUCAUGACAAUUUUUGUCUUUCGUUUCGCAAAAAAGUGUCAAAGGUUUACGAAAACGCAAGGCUCUAUUUUCACUAACAACGAGCAUAUCACUCAGUCGCGACUAUAAUGGGACACAGUGUAGAUAAAAUGCCAGGAUGUGCGUGGAAAAAUUUUUUUUGCAGAAAUACUCUGUAUUACAAAUAAUUAUUAAAAUGCUUGUUUUAAAUUUUUGUUUC